CUACUCUGAAGAGGGAGCUCAUGGAAGGAGUGUGGAGAGGCAGGAAUUUUCAUGAGGAAGCAUAUUUCUAGCACAGCCUCCCAAGUUGUAUAUUUUGGAAUCAACAGCAUGAAGAGGUUAUCUGAAACAUGAAAAUGAAUGACAUCUUGAAAGGGGUGAGAAAGGAAAAUGCAGAGAAGGGAAGAGAUCUGAAGACUGAGUACUGGAGCCUUCCAGUGUCAAGACAAGGUCAAGAUGAAGAACCAACAAAAGAUUAGAGAAGCAACUGCCAGCUGGUGAUUUUUCCUGGCACCUCGGAAGGACAGAGGAACUUGUGUGGGAACUCUCAUUUUAUACAAGACGGAACAGCAGCAAGGGACAAAGGAACUGGCUAAGCUGGCUGCUCAUGGGACUUCAGGGGCAGUGUGGUAUUCUUCAGAUCACAUUCCACUGACUCAUCCCUCCCUUCUGGAUUCUGAACAGCACACAUUUCAACCAAAGCAAACAACUUUCUAGAAUCUUGUAAUUCGUGGUGACUACAUAGGACUUCCACAGUGCUGCUCUCCCACUCGGGCCCACAGGCUGAUCUGAAUGACUGCCACAGCCACAGAAAGGUGGAGUCAAAACACAAAUCCACACCAGGAGACAGAGGUGACUCCACAUACUCCCAGAGCAACAUCCAGAGAAAGGGAUCUAGAGCAUUCUGUAAAUUUUUUA